rnacentral:rRNA from 1 species
UACAGAGGAGCCAAGCGUUGUCCGGAUUGACUGGGCGUAAAGCGCACGCAGGCGGAUGCGCGCGUGGGGUGUGAAAUCUGGCCGCUUAACGGCCAGGCGCCAUCCCAUACGGCGCGUCUGGAGUGAUGCAGAGGUCGAUGGAAUUGCCGGUGUAGUGGUGAAAUGCGUAGAGAUCCGGAAGAACACCGGUGGCGAAGGCGGCCUGCUGGGCAGUUUAGCUGACACUGAGGCGCGACAGCGUGGGGAGCAAACAGG